GUAUCUCUAUGUCGCUUAUAAGUAGCUUGAGCUGCGAGGAGCCAACACAAGCUGAAGUUCACCGUCGCCACUAGUUUUUUUCCUUUUACAUGUUUAUAAUAUUUCAAUAAAAUUAUAACUGUCAAAAAAUGAUCAUUCGCUGCACUAUACUGUUGCUUGUCCCUCUGCUGACGGGGGCGAGUUCUGACUGCGACGCCUGCGUGGCCGGUCGGUGCCACCGACGAAAGUCACUCCUCAGCGGGUUCCCAGUUACCGACCAGCUCGCCAUUGACCGGACCGACAAUAUCCUCUACCUACAGCUUUAUGGAAACCAGAAUAUCGCCAUCGGUCUAGAUGACCUCCAAAUCAGCUUGGUUAACGUGAUGAAAACUUCAGGAAGAGCGUUUGACCAGAAAUCCCAGGUACUAUAUUUGGGUACCAAAGAAGUCAGCAAUACAUACUAUAAGUAUGAUAAACUUAGUAAUACAACAGACGCUAUAUCCAUAACAGGUUCUGGCAAAAGCCCAAAUUUUAUGUUUUAUGACAGAAGCUUACAUUUUAUAGAUAAACACAAUCAAGGUAUUUACUUGUAUAAUACAAUGGAAAAUGCAGUUUAUUAUUAUACUGAUGCAGUAAAUUACACUUGCAGCAAUUUUGUUAUUACCGGGAAAAACCUUUUCUUUGUAUCUAAAGAGACUGUAUAUUCUCUCAAUAUUGUCGUUACGGACGAUGUAAUGGAAAUCACCAAAGGGAACUAUGUGCUAUCUGUAGAUAGCAAUGAUAAUGUAUAUUUAUUAAAUGCAAAUAACAAGACAAUUUAUAAGCGUGAUGACGACACUGGAUCACUAGAUCUAUAUGCAUAUUAUAAUUCUGGCGCGAUAGAAGACUUUGUGUUUGACAGAAAUAACCAAGUAGUGUUUCGCGAAUCAGGCGGCAAUGUGGCGCAGUGGGUGCCCACGCUGCCUCACAAGCGGUGUUCCGUCGAGCCGCCGCACUCUAGCUACUUCAUCCGGGAGUUCGAACAUGUUGACGACUUUUGUAUCAACUGAUCAUCCAUCAUGUGUUUGAGACGGCGUUCUCCCUGUGGUCUCGGAGAAUACUCAACCACCACACUCAACCUUCAAAUCAAGAGUGAACAGGCAUCUUCUGGGCGAGCUCACUCCAUCGUAGGCCACGUCUUUGCAAUGGCUAGUCUAUAGCCAAAAGUAAGCCCAUUUAUAAUAAUAAAAAAAAGUCUCUGGAGAUACUUAUGGCUGGCCCAAUCCUCACAAGUAGAACAUUAACGACAUUAUGUUGUUCAAUAGUUGCACAAUGUUGCACUAUACUUAGCUUUACGGCUAUCCGGGUCGUAACGGCGGUGCAUUAUUUAAACUUUAUGCAGCAUAGUGAAUACACAAUUUUGAAAUGAUGCG